rnacentral:misc_RNA from 1 species
CGAAUUGGAACGGGAACGGGAAGAAGAUGCCGCUGCUAUUUACGGGCUUCAACGCAUUUGGCCAGCAUGAAUGUGUAAGCGGCGACGUCGACUGCGCAGCCGGCUUCAGCGAAAUAAAUGCGCCAGUCUCGACUCAGAACCAGUGCACGAUUUCGAUCGGCUGGCGGUAUGCGGCUCUCGCUUUUGGCCGGAAGUUGUGCCUGCGUGGGCUCUUGGAUGAUGGCCCAAAUGAGUGCGUGACUCUGGAGGCAACGGGGGACAUAAGGGCCCUUGCCGCCACCGAUUCCCACUGCCUUGUGCUACUCCAAAGCGGUCAGCUUUACAGGGUGCAACCCAAACUGCAGGCGGAACUGGUGGCUGUUAGACUAGAAGCUGCUCCCAGAUCCAAUUCGGGUACAAAGCGCUCGAUCUUUGGGGCUGCCAAGGCGCCUUCGUCGCCGAUCAUAGAGCAUAUCGCAUGUGGAUCGCACAUAAACGUAGCGAUCAGCUCGGAAAACUGUGUCUACAGCAUUCCCAGCUGCCUGCAUCAGUUUUCCGAGCGCCAGUUUCGGGUGAAGCAGGUCCAAUGUGGCCAUGAACAUGCCGUGCUCCUCAAUGCCAAUGGUGACGUGUUCACCUGGGGAAAUGGACUCCGCGGACAGUUGGGACUGGCGGUGCUGAGAGUGGAGGAGACGCCUCAAUUGCUGGAGGCGCUGGCGGGGAUCAAGAUAACGCGAAUUGCUGCCGGUGGUUGGCACAGUGCUGCCAUAUCCGCCUUCGGAGACCUCUACACCUGGGGCCUCAACUGCAGCGGUCAGCUGGGAAUGCGUGUGAUGAAACCCGGUGGCGUCCUCAAAGAGCCCACUGUAUAUCCGCUGCCCCAGUUGCAAGAUCUGCCCGAAUGUGACUGCUCCCAAGGCGGGGAGAGCAACGAUGAUUGUGAACCGCUGAGGGUGUUCGCUGGAUCUCGUCACACUCUGCUGAUCCGCCGGUGCGGGCGGCUAUGGGUCAGUGGUUGGUGCAAGCACGGUCAACUUGGCAGGCAGCUCCAAAACCUGUGCUAUGUGGAUGCCUUUCAGGCCCUGGAAGGUAUCAAGAUGAACCCUACUGCGGAUGAGGUUCUCUGUGGGCCAUGGUCAACGCUGCUCCAAUUGAAGGUAUCGUUGGAUUGAAGACACAUUUGUUCGUUUUAAAGAGACUGACUUCACUAUAGUUAAAUCUACUAAAUUGAACGCAUCUUGGACACAAACCAAUUUACAUGUGAAACCAAUUUGAUUGCCUUCUUUUUGGCGCGAGGGUCAUGUAAAAUGUAUUUUCACACAUUUUACUUGACGCUUAUCUAGUAUACAUAUGUAUAUAGUAUAUAUUCAUUCUAUUGCAUAUAUUACGAACUUAUGUAGAUAAGUAGGCAUUGGAAUUAGCGUUUCAUCCACUAUUUGAAUACAAUUAAAAUACCAAAGACAGGCUGGAUGAGCGGAUUGCCCUUGAGGAUGGCUCCCAGUACAUUCUUUGUUUUAAUAUGGCGCAUCACCCUGCAAAUAAUGUAUCCAUACGGAUACAUGGACUGUUCGCUGCAGGACGCAUUGGAUAAUGAGUAUCUGGUAUGGAACAAGGGCGAUGACCGGGAAAAUCAGAUGAUGCUAUUAAGGGACACCAUUCAAACCUCACUCCUGCUCGUGCUAAUGAUAGAGCUGAUGCUGACGUUCAAUAUUCCGUUUCCGAUAGACAUAGGCGCCGAAAUAUAGUCUCGGAUCUGAA